rnacentral:rRNA from 1 species
UUGCACGCUGGCGGCAGGCCUAACACAUGCAAGUCGAGCGGAUGAAGGGAGCUUGCUCCUGGAUUCAGCGGCGGACGGGUGAGUAAUGCCUAGGAAUCUGCCUGGUCGUGGGGGAUAACGUCCGGAAACGGGCGCUAAUACCGCAUACGUCCUGAGGGAGAAAGUGGGGGAUCUUCGGACCUCACGCUAUCAGAUGAGCCUAGGUCGGAUUAGCUAGUUGAUGGGGUAAAGGCCUACCAAGGCGACGAUCCGUAACUGGUCUGAGAGGAUGAUCAGUCACACUGGAACUGAGACACGGUCCAGACUCCUACGGGAGGCAGCAGUGGGGAAUAUUGGACAAUGGGCGAAAGCCUGAUCCAGCCAUGCCGCGUGUGUGAAGAAGGUCUUCGGAUUGUAAAGCACUUUAAGUUGGGAGGAAGGGCAGUAAGUUAAUACCUUGCUGUUUUGACGUUACCAACAGAAUAAGCACCGGCUAACUUCGUG